rnacentral:rRNA from 1 species
UUGGUCAUUUAGAGGAAGUAAAAGUCGUAACAAGGUCUCCGUUGGUGAACCAGCGGAGGGAUCAUUACCGAGUUUACAACUCCCAAACCCCUGUGAACAUACCAAUUGUUGCCUCGGCGGAUCAGCCCGCUCCCGGUAAAACGGGACGGCCCGCCAGAGGACCCCUAAACUCUGUUUCUAUAUGUAACUUCUGAGUAAAACCAUAAAUAAAUCAAAACUUUCAACAACGGAUCUCUUGGUUCUGGCAUCGAUGAAGAACGCAGCAAAAUGCGAUAAGUAAUGUGAAUUGCAGAAUUCAGUGAAUCAUCGAAUCUUUGAACGCACAUUGCGCCCGCCAGUAUUCUGGCGGGCAUGCCUGUUCGAGCGUCAUUUCAACCCUCAAGCCCAGCUUGGUGUUGGGACUCGCGAGUCAAAUCGCGUUCCCCAAAUUGAUUGGCGGUCACGUCGAGCUUCCAUAGCGUAGUAGUAAAACCCUCGUUACUGGUAAUCGUCGCGGCCACGCCGUUAAACCCCAACUUCUGAAUGUUGACCUCGGAUCAGGUAGGAAUACCCGCUGAACUUAAGCAUAUCAAUAAG